AAAGUGCCUAACACAUGCAAGUCGAGCGAGAAAGGGUAGCAAUACCUGAGUAAAGCGGCGCACGGGUGAGUAACACGUGGGUAAUCUGCCCUAGAGUGGGGAUAACACCGGGAACCGGUGCUAUACCGCAUACGAUCACGAUGUCUUCGGAUGUUGUGAUGAAAGGAGCAAUUCGCUCUUGGAGGAGCCCGCGGCUGAUUAGCUAGUUGGUGAGGUAAUGGCUCACCAAUGCAACGAUCAGUAGCCGGUCUGAGAGGACGGUCGGCCACACUGGAACUGAGACACGGUCCAG
rnacentral:rRNA from 1 species